rnacentral:rRNA from 1 species
GACGAACGCUGGCGGCGUGCUUAACACAUGCAAGUCGAACGGAAAGGCCCUGCUUUUGUGGGGUGCUCGAGUGGCGAACGGGUGAGUAACACGUGAGUAACCUGCCCUUGACUUUGGGAUAACUUCAGGAAACUGGGGCUAAUACCGGAUAGGAGCCCCUGCUGCAUGGUGGGGGUUGGAAAUUUUCGGCGGUUGGGGAUGGACUCGCGGGUUAUCAGCUUGUUGGUGGGGUAGUGGCUUACCAAGGCUUUGACGGAUAGCCGGCCUGAGAGGGUGACCGGCGACAUUGGGACUGAGAGACGGCCCAGACUCCUACGGGAGGCAGCAGUGGGGAAUAUUGCACAAUGGGCGGAAGCCUGAUGCAGCAACGCCGCGUUCGGGAUGACGGCCUUUGGGUUGUAAACCGCUUUCGCCUGUGACGAAGCGUGAGUGACGGUAAUGGGUAAAGAAGCACCGGCUAACUACGUG